GUUUGACUACUUAUGUUCAACUUAUUGGCUGACUUUAAACUUUUGGAUAAUUAUUGCUCUGUUAAUUUUCAACCCCUAACUUAUCUUAUCUGCCUUUUUUCCCCUCUCCUCUUUGCCAAAAUCCUCUUCCUCAUCAACAAAUGAUGCUUUGAAGGCAUUCCUAUUGAGGUCAGCUUCCAGCAACUCCUCCUUGUCUGCCUCUGGGAAGGCUUCUGACCAACCCAAGCGAACACUAGUAUCAAGUGCUGAGAUGGAAGCUAUACUGUUGGGUGGCUGCAUUUAAUCUCACUGAGUCAAUGGCUAUUUCUCACAAUAACAUUUUGGUGAAAAAAUUGGUAGAUUGGAUUUCUUAUAAGAUAUUGUUGCUGCUGUUUCAACCUCAGUAAAGAUUAAAGAAGAGGCAGCAUAGAUCACAAAUCUGGCAACUAUCUGGUUUAUAUCCCUCUUCUUAUCCAUCUUUUCAACGGGUAUAUUGGAGAUGAGGUGGAGUGGUGUGGGCAUAGACGAAUGGUGGAGAAACGAGCAAUUCUGGGUGAUCGGUGGUGUUUCUGCCCCUUUGUUUUGCAGUGUGUCAAGGUCUGCUAUCUAGCAGGUAUCGACGCCAAUUUCACAGUGACCUCCAAGGCCUCAAAUGAAGACGGUGAUUAUAAGAGCUAUACAUGUUUAAGUAAACAACCCUGCUUAUCCCACCCACAACCCUUCUGAUCAUAAACUUGGUAGGAGUAGUUGUAGGCAUCUCAAACGCAAUUGA